UUUCUUCAAUAACUUCGUUGAUUUUUAUCUGAUCGCAACCAAAUUUUCAGGAAUCAAAAAGUCUAUAGGGUUUAUUGUGUAUUCCAAAAUUCGGGCGGAAGUGUGCGUGGCACAUUUAAUAUAGACAUUUAAUAUAUAAAAUUCUUCAAUAAACAAUGGAUUAGUUACUACUGUGAGAGGACAUUAUUGAAACUAUAGCUAACAUAUAUCAUAUAUACAUAAUUUUGUCCUUGUCAUUGUCCUUGUUGACUCAGACAAAGGGAGGAGAAGCAGAUCUUGGUUUUUGUUCAUAAGACGAAAAUGACUUCGUUGGAGCUUCUUUUUGCACUAGUUGGGUCCACCUACGCGGCUUUGAUCCAGGAACUUUGGAUAGCGUCGGGCAACAUGGUCGGCGGGCUGAAGUCUCAAAAUUACAACCUCUACGUCCAGAUAAUGGUAACCAGACCAAGAACUGUUAUUCUUUUAAAGAGGGUAGAACUAAUAAUCGAACUGCUAACUACUGGAAAGCUGUAAUGAAUUAUUGGAACGGACGCCAACGCCCAGCAUAGCGUUUGGGGAAAUACAGAAACCAAUAAAAUGGGUCGUACUUCACGCACUAUGCUAGACAUGACUUUCACUACUCUAGAUACCCAUUGAGGAGAAGGGAGAGUCCAGACUUUUCUAUUCUGAUCAUAGGUACAUUCGGUUUAAAAUUGAAUUCAACAAGGUUUCCUUGGCUAAGCAAUACGGACUGAGUGACGUUGUUCAGUAUCGUUACAAACACUAGAUCCGGCGAGUACAAUUAAUUCGUUACAGGAUAUAGAAACAUCUGUGAAUGUUCUAUCAAAAUGACUACUUUUCACGCUGCGACAAGAAGCCAUCAAUGCCACCUUGGUGGAACCCAGAUCUGUCAUCGCUCCGUGAAAUCUGGUCCAUCAACUACUCCUGGUAUCAACUACUGCACAGCGCUGUCUCGGCGAGGUGAUCCUAUUGAAACAAUAAUUUUUGCUAUCGGCCAACUGGCUUACGUAGAGUGAGAGGCAGCAGCAGCACCACAUGAGAAAAAAAAUAAAACAAUAAUGUAUUAGGAGUGCAACUAAGUGCGCCCUGUUUUUCGAAAAAAAAACCCAAUUGUAUCAUCGCCAACGCAUACAAUCGCUUGGAAACGGCUUGACGGGUAACUCAAGUAAUUAUAAAGCAAGCUCUUCUUGAGUUUGGCACGUAUCCUCUUCGAGCAAGGCCUCCAAUUUAGCGCCUUCGUAGGUUUUGGGCCUUCCUUCACGAGGACGGCCGUCAACAUAAGAAUCACAGUAUUUGAAGAGACGAAACCAAACACGGCAUGUUUCGCUCAGCGCACCAUUUCCGUACAUUUUUUGGAGCACUCGACGCGCUCAAGCUGCCUUUUUUUCAAAUGGAAGAAGAAAAUCAACACUUCCCGCAUAAGACGAUUGAUUGACAUUUUUACUUAACCAGAAGUAUAUAAUGCGAACACGAAAUCACUCAUGUGUCGCAGCAGUUUGUUUACCAAAUGUCUAAGCUUGGUUCGUGACGUUUUAAAUAUGUCAAAAUCGACAAACUCUUUCUGCUAAAGCCAUCUACUGACAAACAGCGAGAACUUAGUUUCGCACCUAGUAUAACAAAGCUAACAAAGCUACAGUUGAAUGUGCUCGACUGUGAGAUACUCGCUACCCAAUUUAAAUAAAAGCAAAAUAUUGCGAUAUUCUCAAAAUAUACCGAAAUACUACAAAAAUAAUAAAUAUAUAACAACGGAAGUGGGCGUAGAAAAAAUUGUAAACAAACUUGAUCUGGGUGCAAACAUAACAAAUACUAUCGAAAAUUAUUAGAAUUAGAGCUGUAUCUCUUAUAGUCUCUGAGAUCCUGUGUUUCAUACGGACGGACGGACAUGGCUAGAUCGUCUCGGCUGUUGAUACUGAUGAAGAAUAUAUAUAUUUUAUAGGUCGGAAAUGCCUCCUUUUACCUGUUACAUAUAUUUCCUGUACGCAAAAAGUUAUAAUACCCUUCUAGCCUAUGGGUAACGGGUAUAAAAACUGGAGUCCUUACUUUAACUCCUUGUUUAAACAUUUUACUUUAUAUUUAAGUAAAUUACAUACGCUAUUAU